rnacentral:rRNA from 1 species
UACGGGGGGGGGCAAGCGUUGUUCGGAAUUACUGGGCGUAAAGAGCGCGCAGGCGGUCGUACAAGUCGCGUGUGAAAGCCCCCGGCUCAACUGGGGAGGGUCACGCGAUACUGUUCGACUCGAAGGCAGGAGAGGGAAGUGGAAUUCCCGGUGUAGUGGUGAAAUGCGUAGAUAUCGGGAGGAACACCAGUGGCGAAGGCGGCGAUCUGGGUUGAUACUGACGCUGAGGUGCGAAAGCGUGGGGAGCAAACAGG